rnacentral:lncRNA from 1 species
AAAAAUUCUAGAAUGCAACGGGUAUAUUAGUGACAUGGCGUAACAAACCAAUCAAAUUAAUCCUUUUAAGAAUAUAUGUCCCAUCAUGAUUGUAAAAAAGUAUUUUUAUUGUACUUUUGUUUGAAAAGAAUGAAUGUGAUUGGCUUGUUAUUGAUGACGUGGUGCAAGUGUGACAGUGUAGAAUUCCUCCAAUAAUAUUGGAUACCUCUCGAUACUACACGGGUCGGGCUAAAAACCCGAGUAGCAGUGGCCAAGCUGGGCCUUCUUUUGGGCUUACAUUAAAGAGCCAUUUCUAGGCCCAGCACACCGCUAAAUUUUCGAUGCUAUUUUAGGUCAAUAACUAAUAUAAAAUGACCGUAGUCAGGUCGGAUCAGGUCAGGUCAAGUCAGGUCAAAUGUGAGAAUCUCGAGCUGGCUCGGGUCAUCCAAAGAAAUCGAAAAUCCAAACUCGCUGUAAAACUCUUAUAAUUGCAGCGUUUGGUUAGGAGAUAGGGAUAGGAAUAGGCCGUUAUCCCCCCCUUUAUACCCAAACGUUAAUUUUUUAUCCGAGAAUAGUAGUUCUCGGUUAUCCCCACCAACACCUUCAUUUUUUAUACGGGAACAACCCAAUUUUCAUCCAAACACUAUUUUUCUUAUCCCCAUAUUCGUAUCUAUCCCUGUAAUAGCUAGUUCUUGCUUAUAUCCGAACCAAACGGUACCUUAAGUAUCAACUCAAACCGAUCAGACGAGUCAAAUUUAAUCUGCACUCUUUUGGUGUGUAAUUUUCUAGCACAGUGCGGCUAAACUUCAAAGUGUAUUUCUUCUAAAUUCAUAAAUAUGACUAAGUGUGCACUACAACAUUUAUUACCUUUAUCCUUAGCUCUUUACUUUUUAAAAAUAAUUAAUUAGUGGGUGAGCACAUAUAUAUAAUAAGGGUUAAUUUCAUACAAGUCGCUACAAAUAUAGUGAAUUAUAAAUAUAUCCCUACAAAACUUAACAUGCAUAUAUCGUUCAUAUAAAAGUCCUAAUAUUUUUAAAUAUAUUCCUCUGGUUUGUUACCGUUAAAGUAUUGUUUAUUUUAUAAGUAAAAUGAUAUUUUUGUCAUCACAAAUAUGUCUCUCUAAAAGUCUUAACUGUUAAUUAAAGAGAGGUAAAAUGGUCAAUUCAUCUCAUUAAUUAAUUAGAGUUAAGUAUUUUACCUAUGGUUAGCUUAAUAACAGAGACAUAUUUGAAAACAUCAGUGAAAGUCGAAUUUUGUAGAAAUAUAUUUGUAAUUCACUAUAUUUGUAAUGACCUGUAUGAAAUUAACACUAAUAAUAAUUACUCUUUAAAGUGCCUACCUAAGCCCUUAUC